AUUGAACGCUGGCGGCAUGCCUUACACAUGCAAGUCGAACGGUAACAGGUUAAGCUGACGAGUGGCGAACGGGUGAGUAAUAUAUCGGAACGUGCCCAGUCGUGAGGGGAUAACGUAGCGAAAGCUACGCUGAUACCGCAUACGAUCUACGGAUGAAAGCGGGGGAUCGCAAGACCUCGCGCGAUUGGAGCGGCCGAUAUCCGAUUAGGUUGUUGGUGAGGUAAAAGCUCACCAAGCCUGCGAUCUGUAGCUGGUCUGAGAGGACGACCAGCCACACGGGAACUGAGACACGGGCCAGACUCCUACGGGAGGCAGCAGUGGGGAAUUUUGGACAAUGGACGCAAGUCUGAUCCAGCAAUGCCGCGUGCAGGACGAAGGCCUUCGGGUUGUAAACUGCUUUUGUACGGAACGAAACGGUGAGCUCUAAUACGGUUUGCUAAUGACGGUACCGUAAGAAUAAGCACCGGCUAACUACGUGCCAGCCGCCGCCGUAA
rnacentral:rRNA from 1 species